GACGUAGGGCGCGAGCGUUGUCCGGAUUUAUUGGGCGUAAAGAGCUCGUAGGCGGCUUGUUGCGUCGACUGUGAAAACCCGCGGCUUAACUGCGGGCUUGCAGUUGAUACGGGCAGGCUAGAGUUCGGUAGGGGAGACUGGAAUUCCUGGUGUAGCGGUGAAAUGCGCAGAUAUCAGGAGGAACACCGGUGGCGAAGGCGGGUCUCUGGGCCGAUGACUGACGCUGAGGAGCGAAGACGUGGGGAGCAAACAGG
rnacentral:rRNA from 1 species